GCCAGAUAUGGUGGUGUGUGCCCAUAGUUCCAACUACUCAGGAGACUAAGGCAGGAGGAUGACUGAGUCCAGGAGUUCUGAGUUGUAGUGCACUAUGCCAAUCAGGUGACUGUGCUAAGUUUAACAUCAAUAUGGUGACCUCUUGGGAGCAGAGGACCACCAGGUUACAUAAGGAGGGGUGAACUGGCUCAGACUAGAAAUAGACCAGAUCAAAAUUUCCUUGCUGAUUAGUAGUGGGAUGGUUAUCUGUGAAUAACCACUGCAUUCCAGCCUGGGCAACAUGGCAAGACCCUGUGUCUA
rfam:Pan troglodytes isolate Yerkes chimp pedigree #C0471 (Clint) chromosome 8, whole genome shotgun sequence.